GUGCUUGCUUCAGCAGCACAUAUACUAAAAUUGGAAUGAUACAGAGAUUAGCAUGGCCCCUGCACAAAGAUGACACGCAAAUUUGUAAAGCAUUCCAUAUUUUU